CAGAGAUGUCAGAUCUGCAAUGGAUAUUUCUUGGUUCAGCUCAUCAUAAGAGGAUGAACUAGGACAAUGAAAGGAUGCACAGUAAACUGCUGGAGCAUCAGAAUCCACAGAAGAGCAAAAACCAACAGGACAGAGAGAAAAAUGGAGGAUAGAAAGAAAACACAAACCAGUGGAUCACAAGAGAAAAGCAGACAGAGACUUGUUAGACGAGAGAGUAUGGAGAAAAAGCCAAACUUUUCAGGUGAUCCAGACAGACAUGUAAAGUUGAAUUCUGAUGUUCUCAAAACACACAACAUCAGUGACGUUCAGAUACGGACUAAACAUCAUCAUCAUCAUCAUCAUCAUCAUCAUCCAGACUACAGUCUGUUCAGAUUUUACAGACUCAUCGGAUCACAAACAAACAGACUAAUGAACAGUUUGUUUCUCAGAUCUGUGUCUCAAUUCUGCACUUUACUGACGACAUUCUGCACAUCACAGUUUCCCUGCAUCUGAAAGUGAACAUUUGCACAUUCUUUCAGUUUAAAUAAUACAGGGAAAACACUCUGGACACUGCAGAGCAAAACACGUUAAUAAAACAACUCGGGCCACGGCUCAUCUGGACAGAUGUCAAAAUAUUCAUCCAUUAUAAAACACAGAGCUCUAUAAACUCAAUCAAUAAUCAUAAAUGUGUUCAGCAACUCAACAGAUAUUUUGAGGUGUUUCUGAUUAUUAAGUGAAUGGAAUAUCCAGUAUUAAAAUUAAGCAGAUAGCGCCACCCUCAGGCUGAUGAACUCAAUGACACUGAAGCGCUGCUGAAUCUUCAUCUGCAUGUUCAGAAUCAGUAACCAGACAUUACACCAGACUAAAGAUUGAAUCAGCCUCUUAUGAACACUUCAGAUGAACACAACACUGAGACAUGAUGCUGACUCCUGAGAGGUCUCAAUCAGCAUAAAACUGACCAAUACACUUCAUAUUGUCAUCAUCAGAAUCACGUCAUAUAAUCAGGUCUUUAAUGUGUUUAUCAUGUGAUAUUAACUAAAUGUAUAUUUCUGCCAUGUGGACAUUACUUUGACUCAGUCACUUCUGAUAACAGAUAUAGAAAUGUAAAUUUUUUUGUGAAGCUGCUUUGAAACAAGGUGCAUUUUCAUACAAAUAAAUGUAAAUACGGAAAAUAAAUAAAUAA